GCAAGCAAAGCUAAUAUCUACUGUUUUCCAGCUCUUUCAGAUUGAAUAAGGGCCUCUUCAUACACUUAAAAGUGUUUUUUGCACCAGCUUUGCCAUUGCAAGUCUUUUAAGGCGCUCCGUCAGCAGUAUUCUUGGAUAUCCAUAUACACAGUUCAGUUUUUGAAGCUGAUUUGAAACAAGUACAUGCUAUAAUAGCUUUCAAUGGCAUCAAUAAACCUAUAAAAGGAGUUUUCAAACUUAGGUUGGUUGCCUGAUCACAUGCUUUACUAAGAGAUCGAAUUUUCAACACAUUUCUAGAGCUUCUUUUUCAUGCUUAGCUUACUAUGGCAAUGGAAAAGUUCACUACUUUUAUUGUAUUUUUCUGUCCCACUUAAUUUUCUCUUUUUAUUUUAGUCGGUUUUAAUUAAUUUUUCUCAUAUGAGUCCAUCAUUAUUACUCAUAAUAUACUAGUAUCUCUUAUUUCUAA